UACGGAGGGUGCGAGCGUUGUCCGGAAUCACUGGGCGUAAAGGGCGCGUAGGUGGCGAGUCAAGCGUGCGGUGAAAGCUCGGGGCUUAACCCCGAGUCGGCCGUGCGAACUGGCCUGCUUGAGCACUGUAGAGGCAGAUGGAAUUCCGGGUGUAGCGGUGGAAUGCGUAGAGAUCCGGAAGAACACCGGUGGCGAAGGCGGUCUGCUGGGCAGUUGCUGACACUGAGGCGCGACAGCGUGGGGAGCAAACAGG
rnacentral:rRNA from 1 species